UCGAGGGGCAGCAUGGUCUUAGCUUGCUAAGGCCGAUGGCGACCGGCGCACGGGUGAGUAACACGUAUCCAACCUGCCGUCUACUCUUGGACAGCCUUCUGAAAGGAAGAUUAAUACAAGAUGGCAUCAUGAGUCCACAUGUUCACAUGAUUAAAGGUAUUCCGGUAGACGAUGGGGAUGCGUUCCAUUAGAUAGUAGGCGGGGUAACGGCCCACCUAGUCUUCGAUGGAUAGGGGUUCUGAGAGGAAGGUCCCCCACAUUGGAACUGAGACACGGUCCAAACUUCUACGGGAGGCAGCAGUGAGGAAUAUUGGUCAAUGGGCGCAGGCCUGAACCAGCCAAGUAGCGUGAAGGAUGACUGCCCUAUGGGUUGUAAACUUCUUUUAUAAAGGAAUAAAGUCGGGUAUGGAUACCCGUUUGCAUGUACUUUAUGAAUAAGGAUCGGCUAACUCCGUGCCAGCAGCCGCGGUAAUACGGAGGAUCCGAGCGUUAUCCGGAUUUAUUGGGUUUAAAGGGAGCAUAGAUGGAUGUUUAAGUCAGUUGUGAAAGUUUGCGGCUCAACCGUAAAAUUGCAGUUGAUACUGGAUAUCUUGAGUGCAGUUGAGGCAGGCGGAAUUCGUGGUGUAGCGGUGAAAUGCUUAGAUAUCACGAAGAACUCCGAUUGCGAAGGCAGCCUGCUAAGCUGCAACUGACAUUGAG
rnacentral:rRNA from 1 species